GGAGUUAGCCGGUGCUUCUUCUGCGAGUAACGUCACAGAUGUAAGGUAUUAACUUACACCCUUUCCUCCUCGCUGAAAGUGCUUUACAACCCGAAGGCCUUCUUCACACACGCGGCAUGGCUGCAUCAGGGUUUCCCCCAUUGUGCAAUAUUCCCCACUGCUGCCUCCCGUAGGAGUCUGGGCCGUGUCUCAGUCCCAGUGUGGCUGAUCAUCCUCUCAGACCAGCUAGGGAUCGUCGCCUAGGUGAGCCUUUACCUCACCUACUAGCUAAUCCCACCUGGGCUUAUCCAUCAGCGCAAGGCCCGAAGGUCCCCUGCUUUCCCCCGUAGGGCGUAUGCGGUAUUAGCAGUCGUUUCCAACUGUUAUCCCCCACAAAUGGGCAAAUUCCCAGGCAUUACUCACCCGUCCGCCGCUCGUCAUCUUCAAAAGCAAGCUUUUGAAAUGUUACCGCUCGACUUGCAUGUGUUAGGCCUGCCGCCAGCGUUCAAUCUGAGCCAGAUACAACUACUGA
rnacentral:rRNA from 1 species